rnacentral:tRNA from 1 species
GACUCGGUAGCUCAGCUGGUUAGAGCGUCGGAUUCAUAACCCGGAGGUCGGAAGUUCAAGUCUUCUUCGAGUCACCA